rnacentral:tRNA from 1 species
UGAUCGUGAAUAAAUCAUGUAAAAAUCUUGUAAAAAAAUAAUAUGUAAAUAGUAUACGAUAAUAAUGUCAUUCC